AUUUUUCAUGUAUACCAGAUUGAAGGUAAUACAAUAUAUAUUGAAGACUUGAAGAUAAAAACUCCUAAGUCCUUAUUUCAAAAGAAAGACCAAAGGAGGAAAAGGGCCACCGUUGUGAUUGAAGAUGACGACUAGCUAUCUUGGAUAGGAAAGAGAGGCUUGAUCGGGGGUCGGGUCGUUACAGUUGGUAUCAGAGCCUAAGUUUUAGGUUCUGUAGACUGACUUACGAUGUAAGUCUUGGUUGUGUGUCCCUUAUGGCUAUUCACGGAUCCUUCGUCCUCGCCAGGUAAGGGUAGAGAUUCACCGGCGAUGGACAAGCGGAAUUCGUGAUCGAGCCACUGGGAC